AAAGUGAACAUUGUAUUCUCUGUUAUGUUUCAGAUUUAUUAUCGUAUAUAUUCUUCUGCUUCGUAACUCAGUAUUGAGCUCUGCUAUUGUCCACUUUCUGCUGUUAGAUAUAUUUUCAUCUGGACCAUGCGAGAGAUGAAUCUCCAGAAUGUUCCAACCAAAUAAGUGAAAUAACUUAAAGCUGUAUCUACUUGAGACUUGAGUUACCAGUGUGCUCUCUGGAUGAAUAUGAAAUAAUCUCCUAUGUAGUCUAUGAAAUAAUCAAUGUACAAAUUUUUGUUUUUAAUUCACCUUUUUAUUCUGCUGCUGUUUUAUUAAUAUAAUGAGCAAUCUAAUUUAAAAUGUGUAAAACUAUCAACUAAAGUAUUAAUAUUUUAUUAGGUGUUUUAGUAUAUGGAUAAUAGAAUAAUGAUUCAUUGUACCUUAAAACUAUUGGAAACAUAAAACUUAAACUUUUCACCUCAUUGAAUAACCAUUGGUCAAAUAAUUGAUUAAAGAUCUUGUCUGCUCCUGUUAAAUAGAAUAGAAAGGAAUACAUAAUUAUUUUUCAUUGAAGAAACUCUGGUCUUGUCAUUAGUGUGAGUUGAGCUAUAUAAUUUUUUCAUCCUUGAAAAUACUUCAAAACUAUUUUGAAAUGAUUCAACUUUACAUUCCCUAAAUAGAUUACUCUGGGAUAUUAUUAGGCUAUGUACUUAUUAUUGAAGAUUUUGUUUUCAAGCAAAUCUGAUUGCUUGCGAAACUAUAAAACUUUUAUUCUCAUAGUUUCUGAUUGUGACGUCAAUAUGAUAUGCACAUGGUAAUCACCCUUAUUAUAAAUAUAAUGAAACUGUAACUUGAGUUUUCUUCUAAAUAAUACUGCUCUUAAGCAUUAGCUUUUUCUAUUGUUACUUUUCGUCUUCAUAUUUUAACCACCUAAUUAAUUUUAAUGCAAGAAUUUUAAAUUAAUAAAUAAUAUUAAAAAGUAAUAAAAAAUUGAGGAACACUAUCGUUCAACUUUCAAUAUUAUUGCUGUACUUGUAUUUUUCAUAUAUUCUUUUGGUAUGACCGAUACAUCAGCAUUUCUUGCCGCCCAACAAAUGCUCUGAUUGAAAAUAUUUUUGAUUUUAGUUGUUUCCAAUUAAAUACAAGCUUUGAUUGUAUUUUGCCAUAGUUAGGUCUUAUCGACUAUCUUCAAUAUGUAUCACAAUUUGUGAUACAAAUUGCUCAUAAUGUAUUCCUUUUUUUAUAAACUCAUUUUUGAUCUAUUUUUUACUUAGCUAUUCAAAUUUCAACAAAAAUGCGGACAAUAAAUAGACAAUUGAAGUGUAAUUAAGUACGGUAAUUAUAUAAUGAAGAUAAUAUUUCAACGUUAAUAGAAUUUUUUACUAAGAAAAAAAGAAAAGUUAGGCUAGGCUGCAUUAGAACAAGUUUGCAGGGCCUUGAACAUGUGAAUAAUAUUUUUUCUAAAGUAAAACUAUUAACCUUCUAUAUAAUUGUAUAUCAAUUGGCUAGAACAAAUUCAAUUUUCAGAAAAAACAACUGGCAUUUCCAAAAACUUUUUUAAUAUUAAAUUUGCUAAUAUUUAUAAUAAGGAAAUUCGGAAGAUUUCAGUUUUUCAUGAACGUAUAUGGAGAGGGUUCAUUAUUUCAUUUCUACAAUAUGAUUGAUUCUGAUGCAUUGUGAAUA